rnacentral:rRNA from 1 species
UACGUAGGGCGCAAGCGUUAUCCGGAAUUAUUGGGCGUAAAGGCUCGUAGCGGCUUGUCGCGUCGGAUGUGAAAGCCCCGGGGCUUAACUCCGGGUCUGCAUUCGAUACGGGCAGGCUAGAGUGUGGUAGGGGAGAUCGGAAUUCCUGGUGUAGCGGUGAAAUGCGCAGAUAUCGAGAGGAACACCGGUGGCGAAGGCGGCCAACUGGACAGAUACUGACGCUGAGACACGAAAGCGUGGGGAGCAAACAGG